GACGAACGCUGGCGGCGUGCUUAACACAUGCAAGUCGAACGGAAAGGCCCUGCUUUUGUGGGGUGCUCGAGUGGCGAACGGGUGAGUAACACGUGAGUAACCUGCCCUUGACUUUGGGAUAACUUCAGGAAACUGGGGCUAAUACCGGAUAGGAGCUCCUGCUGCAUGGUGGGGGUUGGAAAGUUUCGGCGGUUGGGGAUGGACUCGCGGCUUAUCAGCUUGUUGGUGGGGUAGUGGCUUACCAAGGCUUUGACGGGUAGCCGGCCUGAGAGGGUGACCGGCCACAUUGGGACUGAGAUACGGCCCAUACUACUACGGGAGGCAGCAGUGGGGAAUAUUGCACAAUGGGCGGAAGCCAGAUGCAGCAACGCCGCGUGCGGGAUGACGGCCUUCGGGUUGUAAACCGCUUUCGCCUGUGACGAAGCGUGAGUGACGGUAAUGGGUAAAGAAGCACCGGCUAACUACGUG
rnacentral:rRNA from 1 species